rnacentral:rRNA from 1 species
UACGAAGGGGGCUAGCGUUGCUCGGAAUUACUGGGCGUAAAGGGCCCGCAGGCGGUGGAGUAAGUUUGGAGUGACAGUUCCCAGCUUAACCGGGAAAGGACUUCGAAAACUGCUCGACUUGAGGACUGGAGAGGAAGGCGAAUUCCGGGUGGAGCGGUGAAAUGCGUAGAGAUCCGGAGGAACACCGACGGCGAAGGCAGC